AUUGAACGCUGGCGGCAUGCCUUACACAUGCAAGUCGAACGGCAGCACGGGUGCCUGCACCUGGUGGCGAGUGGCGAACGGGUGAGUAAUACAUCGGAACAUGUCCUGUAGUGGGGGAUAGCCCGGCGAAAGCCGGAUUAAUACCGCAUACGAUCUACGGAUGAAAGCGGGGGACCUUCGGGCCUCGCGCUAUAGGGUUGGCCGAUAGCUGAUUAGCUAGUUGGUGGGGUAAAGGCCUACCAAGGCGACGAUCAGUAGCUGGUCUGAGAGGACGACCAGCCACACUGGGACUGAGACACGGCCCAGACUCCUACGGGAGGCAGCAGUGGGGAAUUUUGGACAAUGGGCGAAAGCCUGAUCCAGCAAUGCCGCGUGUGUGAAGAAGGCCUUCGGGUUGUAAAGCACUUUUGUCCGGAAAGAAAUCCUUGGCUCUAAUACAGUCGGGGGAUGACGGUACCGGAAGAAUAAGCACCGGCUAACUACGUG
rnacentral:rRNA from 1 species